rnacentral:rRNA from 1 species
CAGUCGCCGCGGGAAUACGUAGGGUGCAAGCGUUAAUCGGAAUUACUGGGCGUAAAGCGUGCGCAGGCGGUUUGUUAAGACAGAUGUGAAAUCCCCGGGCUCAACCUGGGAACUGCAUUUGUGACUGGCAGGCUAGAGUAUGGCAGAGGGGGGUAGAAUUCCAGGUGUAGCGGUGAAAUGCGUAGAGAUCUGGAGGAAUACCGGUGGCGAAGGCGGCCCCCUGGACAAAGACUGACGCUCAGGUGCGAAAGCGUGGGGAGCAAACAGGAUUAGAUACCCCGGUAGUCUCUGUCUCUUAUAA